rnacentral:rRNA from 1 species
UAUAUUAGGUUUAUACUGCUCUAUGAAAGAAAUUUUAAAUGGCCGCAGUAAACUGACUGUGCUAAGGUAGCAUAAUAAAUUGGCCUUUAAUUGAGGUCUAGUAUGAACGGAUACAUAUGUAAUAACUGUCUUACCUGUACUUUAUAAAAUUUACUUAGAAGGUGAAAAUUCCUUUUAGCUUACAUGAAGGACGAUAAGACCCUUAGAAUUAUAAAUAGAUGGUACUUAGUGUAUUAAUUCAUUUUUGUUGGGGCGACAUAUUAUCAUAAAACAUAAUAUAUUUUAAUUGAAUACAGGACUAAUUUACUCAGUAAGAUUUAAUUACCUGAGGGAUAACAGCAUAAUAUUAUCAUAUGUUUAUGACCUCGAUGUUGGACUAGGUAAAAUAAUAACUAGCAGUUAUUAUUUUUGUUCUGUUCGAACAAUUACA